GCUGGGUGCAGAGGCACAUGCCUGUAGUCCCAGCUACUUGGGAGGCUGAGGCGGGAGGAUCGCUUGAGCCCAGGAGUUCUGGGCUGUAGCGCGCUAUGCCGAUCGGGUGUCCGCACUAAGUGCAGCAUCAGUAUGGUGACCUCCCGGGAGCGGGAGCAGCACCAGGUUGCCUAAGGAGGGCUGAACCCACCCAUGUCGGAAAUGGAGCAGGUCAAAACUCCCGUGCUGAUCGGUAGUGGUAUCUUGCCUGUGAAUAGCUACUUCACUUCAGCCUGGGUAACAUAGAGAGACCCUGUUUCU
rnacentral:SRP_RNA from 1 species